GCAGAGUCUGAGACCGACUGACGGCUCUCACGCACGAAAGUCUCCGCUCUGGGUGGGUAAAGGGACACGAACUCACCUGAGCCCCGCAGGACCAAAGAACCCGCUCUGAGUCCGGCAGAGGACAGCCCGCACCGCACGCUGGAGGUGGAGCAGCCACACCCAAAAGACAGACCACGGCAGAGGAAUAACGGAGCAGCUCAUUUACUGACUUUGUUCUCUGAUGAUACCCCCCAUAACUGUUCUGGAGAAUCUGGACCUGCAGAAGAAGGCUCUGCAUCAGAACCCAGGCUGGUACCUCACUGGUUCUCAGGUGAUGUCUGAUGGGGGCGGGGGUCAUCCCUCAAUGCUCAUCUGCCUCCAACAGAUCAGCCAAUCAGGAUUCUUCUUCAGAACUCUGCUUCCCUGAACCCUCCUCUCAUCUGACCAUGUGAAGGUGGAGCAUCAGUCAUCUCCAAGAGUGAAAGGUCCUGCAGGCAUCAGAUCAGAACCAUCAGGUAGACGGACAGGCGGACAGGAGUCAGACGGACAGACGGGUGUCGAGUCUGCUGCUGUGAGCUCAGAGAGGCACAAUGAUGAAGAACUAAAGAGCAACGCAACCUAAAAAAUAAAAUCACAGUCUUUGUUUGAA